AUCAACGUGUUCAUAGACAAUGAGGAGCAAAGAGGUGAAGACCUCAACACUCUUUUCAAGAGGAUCGAAGAAUCUGGGAUUGCCAUAGUUGUGAGCUUGUUAAGAUUAAAGAACGUGUGGACGAAGGCCUGCUCAAGGUGCUUCCUAUCUUCUACAAGGUGACUCCAACCAAUGUGAAAAGACUUAAGGGAGAGUUUGGUGACCAUUUCAGAGAUAAGGAAUACAUGUACAAGUCUGACGAACCUAUGAUAAAGCAAUGGAAAGAGGCGAUCGUGUCUGUCUCCCAUAAGUUUGCCCUGGCUUUGGAUGAAAAAAGUAGCUUAUUGGAGAUUGAUUUCGUUGAAACUAUCGUCAAGGAGGUCUUGAAAAUGCUACAAGCCAUAUGCAAAGUGGAAAGCGGGCAAUCCUCUUUUUGUAUGGAGAAAGCCUGAAGCUCAAUUUUGAUGGUAAAGAAUCACACAUGAAGAUCACCAAAACGUUGGUUUAUUUACUUCAGCAGAGUAAUUUAUUAUCAUUAAAUUAUUGAGUUAAGGAUUCUGGUUAUGUCUCAUUGAAAAAAAAUGUUUCUUUAUAAGUAAAAACUUGAGAGCUCCUGAAAUUGUUUCUUUGUCA